UAUCAACAGCUAAUUCGACAUCCAUUUUGCAUCCUACCUGAACUGUGAGCUCUCUCCAGUCAGUAAAAGACAGUCUUAUCUUGACUCUUAUUCUGACCCUUUUU